rnacentral:rRNA from 1 species
UGUAGCUUUGCAUUGGACUUUGAACCAAUCUGUGUAGGAUAGGUGGGAGGCUUUGAAGCGGGGACGCCAGUUCUCGUGGAGCCAUCCUUGAAAUACCACCCUGGUUUGUUUGAGGUUCUAACCUUGGUCCGUAAUCCGGAUCGGGGACAGUGCAUGGUAGGCAGUUUGACUGGGGCGGUCUCCUCCUAAAGUGUAACGGAG